rnacentral:rRNA from 1 species
GACGGGGGCCCGCACAAGCGGUGGAGUAUGUGGUUUAAUUCGACGCAACGCGCAGAACCUUACCUAGACUUGACGUCCCGGGGAUUUUCUGGAAACAGAGAAGUGCUUUAGCAAUAAAGAACCCGGUGACAGGUGCUGCAUGGCUGUCGUCAGCUCGUGUCGUGAGAUGUUGGGUUAAGUCCCGCAACGAGCGCAACCCUCGCCUUUAGUUGCCAGCAUUCAGUUGGGCACUCUAGAGGGACUGCCGGUGUCAAACCGGAGGAAGGUGGGGAUGACGUCAAGUCCUCAUGGCCUUUAUGUCUAGGGCUACACACGUACUACAAUGGCCGGUACAAAGGGCAGCCACUCAGCGAUGAGGCGCUAAUCCCAUAAAGCCGGUCUCAGUUCGGAUCGCAGUCUGCAACUCGACUGCGUGAAGUUGGAAUCGCUAGUAACCGCGAAUCAGCAGGUCGCGGUGAAUACGUUCCCGGGCCUU